UGGGGCAGCGCAGGUAGCAAUACUGGGCGGCGACCGGCAACGGGUGCGGAACACGUACACAACCUUCCGAGAAGUGGGGAAUAGCCCAGAGAAAUUUGGGUUAAUACCCCGUAACAUAACGAUGUGGCAUCACAUUGUUAUUAUAGCUUCGGCGCUUCUUGAUGGGUGUGCGGCUGAUUAGAUAGUUGGCGGGGUAACGGCCCACCAAGUCUACGAUCAGUAGCUGAUGUGAGAGCAUGAUCAGCCACACGGGCACUGAGACACGGGCCCGACUCCUACGGGAGGCAGCAGUAAGGAAUAUUGGUCAAUGGACGCAAGUCUGAACCAGCCAUGCCGCGUGAAGGAUUAAGGUCCUCUGGAUUGUAAACUUCUUUUAUCUGGGACGAAAAAAGGCGAUUCUUCGUCACUUGACGGUACCAGAUGAAUAA
rnacentral:rRNA from 1 species